rnacentral:lncRNA from 1 species
UAUACAUUCGUUUUCUUCUUGAUAUUGGCUUUUGCUGCUCGUAAGUUAUUUUUCUCGAAUUCACCGGAUGUAGCAUUUAAUUCUUUUCAUUUCGAUUAAAUUUCUAAACAUUUUUUUUUUCUCUCUAUGUUUGGUAUUUUGCAGAGGAGAGCAUGGGUAAAAAUUGUGGUAUUCUACUUAAGGAAAAUUCUUGCGUUAACGACGAGACUUGCAGGGUACAAUGCGUCCCAUUAGGCUACCCAAUUGGCUUGUGCCUGAUCGGAGGAGCCGUACCACGGCAAUGUAAUUGUAUAAAAACGGAUUGUUAGUCAAUUUUGUUUUUUUACUUGGUCUCGGCAUAUGUAGCUUCUCUAUACCGUUACGUUGAGUUAUGAAUAAAAUUGAAUAAACG